rnacentral:lncRNA from 1 species
AUGUUGUUCGGUUGUGACCUUCUCUAUGGCAUCUACUGCAAGUCACCCUUGACCUCUUGCAUUUGUCUUCAUUUGGUGCUUUCCAUCUAUCUGUAGAAGGUUUCUCUGGCGGCCUUUUAUAAUCUGAUGGCAAUACUAUUUCAUCCAGCAUUUCUUGUUGUAUUUUUCUUAUGCUUUCACAAGGAAGAGGUUCAACUGGUAUUGCAUAUGCAUUCCAAAAUUUUUUAUUGCUAUAGUACGGGAAGCAAUAAUUCUCUCCAUGCUGAUUUCUG